GGUUGAAAUUGGGGGUGAAUUUUAGCCCUAAACUUGUUGAAAUUGUCAAUCUUCGACGAAUUCUUCUUGAAUCUUCAUAAGGUAUGUAUUAUGCUAUGGGAUUGACCGGCUGCUGCUGUGCCUGCUCUUGUUCGACUGCAAGCUGCUGCGCUACUUGUUGUGGUCUUGUUUGACUUCUUCAAUCUUCAUAAGGUUAAAGGUAUGUGUUUUUCUAUCUUUAGGUUUAAUUUAGGGCUACAAUUUAUGUGAUUUAGGUUGAAAUUAGGGGAGAAUUUUAACCCUAAACUUGUUGAAAUUAGGGGUGAAUUUUAGCCCUAAACUUGUGAUUUAGGUAGAAAUUAGGGGCAGAACUGAAAUUAGG
rnacentral:lncRNA from 1 species